UCACUAUUUGUAAAAAUUAUUAUUAUGUAAAAAAAAACUGAUACACAUUGAUAUCGUUUUUCUCUUCAUAUUAUUAUUUUUAUCGAAUCGAAAUUUUUGACAAGCGAGCGAAAAUUUAAUCGAAAAAUAACUAGACGCCUGUAACAUCGACAAAUGGUAAUCGCGAUAUAUUAAUAAUAGUGGAAGAAGUACAGAGAAGGAUGUAACGAUAACGUAUACGUUUCACGCAGGAUAGGUUAGGUUAUAAUUGGGCAUUACGUGUUAAAAAAAAAAAAAAAAAAAAACCGUUAACUAUUGAACGAAUGAAAAAAAUCAAUAACGAAAAAAAAAGAAGUGAGUCAUUGUGACGUGUACGUCGCGUUAUAUUAUAUAAUUGUUGAUAAUGGAAACUAUUGUAAUUGAGACUUUGAGGAUACUCUAUUAAGGCAACACGUGGGACGAACGAGGGAAACGCUCGGCCGUGCUUAACGACGAGAUCGAUUUUAAUAGUGGCAUAAAAUUUACAUUUCGGUCGAACGAUCGACAAAAUUACCAAGCUUUUGAACCAGUUUCCCUGGAAUAAAGUCGAACGCAACUGAAAAUGAAGGAUUUCCAAUCAAAGUCGCUUCGACGUCUAUUAAUUCGUCUCGGAAGAGAAGUAUCGUGGUCGGACGUCUGAGCGGUGGAUCACGGAUAAAUUGGAAAACAAGGCCGCGAGGACAGUUUGUCAGAGCUGUGCUAUUCAAUCCCAUUCGGAAACAGCGGUGCGAACUAGGCGAACGGUGAAAUCCCAUCGAAAUUACUUGUUCUCAAGAGCCGAAGAAUCGAGUAACGUGCGUUCAAUAAGAAGAAUCAUUCUUGAAAAUAUCGAGAAAACCGUCUUAACAUUAUCCGCAUGUGUCGGUCGUAAAAUUAUUCGCAUCGAGAAAGUGUGUAUUGUGUUUGUAUUGUGUAAUAUUUUGGACGUAAAUUAUAUUUUUUCCUGCUGUUUUGAUUUUCAUAUCGAGUAAGGAUAUUUCAAGAUUAAAGAUUUUUAAAUAUCUUGUUAAAUAUCCUCGUCUAUUUUUAUUAGAUUAAACGUAUUAAUUAAAUGUCAAGGAGAUCUCGCAAGUUUAAUCUAGCGUUGGACGGUGUAUGGAACAUCGUGAAGUGGUGUAGUUAUGCAAAUCGCGGGAUAUCCAACGCCUGUUGUGACUUGCUGUUUGCAUUUAAACGUAGCUAUUUAGACAAUCUUUGUUCGUUUUAAUGCAGUGACUACUAUUUCUAUACAUUUUGGAAAUCUUUUCAGAGGACGGAUUUUAUUUCAGCACAAAUUCAUUUGAUAAAUUUGAUAAUCGUUAUAAUUUAUAAUUUAUAAUUGUAAUUACGUAUAUCGUUACGAUAUUGCAAGGAAUUUACGAAAAAAGGGUUAUCGAGCGUGGAAAUAAAAUAUAUGAAGUUCGAUCUUUCAAAGAUACCUACGUUAUAAUUUUAUCGAUCGAAAAACAUAAAUAUAAGUGAGAAACAAGGAGAAGAAUAGACAAGACACAAAUAAGUAAAUAUCUCAACAUCUUGUAGAGACAAGACAAGAGUGCAUAGAUUGAUGACAUUUAUAAGAAUAAGUCGGUACUUUACUUUGCCAGGAUGAAAUUAAAUUCAACCAAGAUAAAUGGGAGCGCUAAGCGUGCUUCGCUUCGGUGAACAUGUGAAAUGUAAAUUAGUUUGAAUUAAGGUGGAGUUCACUGGUCAGGCUUCUAUUAAAUGUAUAAAUACGCGUGGACGGUUUCCAGCGGCUGCGAUUCGUGUUUCGUGUCGCGUUACCAGCUGCGACACUGUUUCUAAUUAAAUGAUACGCUCUUUUAACAAA